GCCUGGCUGGCUCAGUCGGUAAAGUGUGUGACUCUUGAUCUCAGGGUUGUCAGUUCAAGCCCCAUGUUGGGCA
rfam:Felis catus isolate Cinnamon breed Abyssinian chromosome E1, whole genome shotgun sequence.